rnacentral:siRNA from 1 species
UAAAUUAGGUGGAUCGUUA